rnacentral:rRNA from 1 species
CCGGAUUUAUUGGGUUAAAAGGGUGCGUAGGCGGAAAAUUAAGUCAGUGGUGAAAUCCUGCAGCUUAACUGUAGAAUUGUCAUUGAUACUGGUUUUCUUGAAUACAGUUGAGGUAGGCGGAAUGAGUAAUGUAGCGGUGAAAUGCUUAGAUAUUACUCAGAACACCAAUUGCGAAGGCAGCUUACUAAACUGUGAUUGACGCUGAGGCACGAAAGCGUGGGGAGCGAACAGGAUUAGAUACCCUGGUAGUCCACGCCGUAAACGAUGAUCACUCGUUGUUGGCAAUACACCGUCAGCGACUGAGCGAAAGUAUUAAGUGAUCCACCUGGGGAGUACGAUUGCAAGAUUGAAACUCAAAGGAAUUGACGGGGGCCCGCACAAGCGGAGGAACAUGUGGUUUAAUUCGAUGAUACGCGAGGAACCUUACCUGGGCUUAAAUGCAUAACGACGGAUCGGGAAACUGGUCUUUCUUCGGACGGAAUGCAAGGUGCUGCAUGGCUGUCGUCAGCUCGUGCCGUGAGGUGUCGGGUUAGGUCCCAUAACGAGCGCAACCCUCAUCAUUAGUUGCCAGCGGGUAAUGCCGGGGACUCUAAUGAAACUGCCGGUGUAAACCGAGAGGAAGGCGAGGAUGACGUCAAGUCAGCACGGCCCUUAUGUCCAGGGCUACACACGUGUUACAAUGGUCAGUACAAAGGGCAGCUACCAGGCAACUGGAUGCUAAUCUCAAAAGCUGGUCACAGUUCGGAUCGGAGUCUGCAACUCGACUUCGUGAAGUUGGAUUCGCUAGUAAUCGCGCAUCAGCCAUGGCGCGGUGAUACGUUCCCGGGCCUUGUACACACCGCCCGUCAAGCCAUGGAAGCACGGGGGUACACUGAAGUUCGUAACCGAGAGGAUCGACCUAGGGUAAACUGGUAACUGGGGCUAAGUCGUAACAAG